UUUCUCAAGUGGAUGACUCACUAUCAGAAUUCACACACAAUUCGCCAGAGAAGUCAGAAGGCCACCACAACCACAAGCAAUUUCAGGGAGGCACAUGCAACAUGUGGGAAAUUUUGACUCUUUACGGAAAGAGGCUUCUUCUACAAAAGCAUAAUCAUAGCUCUUAAAAUAGAAAAUUUACUGAACAUAUAUAUAUAUAUAUAACCUUAGUGUUGUAUACUUCAACAAAUAAACAGCUAUUAGUGAUUCAGGAAAUGAUACUAAAUAUAAA